rnacentral:lncRNA from 1 species
CCCCCUCCUUUAAGCCAAACCCUUCUUCUCUUUGCUCCCUUUCCUUUCUCUGACCUUGUGUAUACAGUGUUUUCUAUACUUAGAACUGAAUUUGCUAAACAUUUAAUAUGUGCCUCUUGUGGGCAACGCUCUACCUUCUAUCUUAGGAACACAGAUUAGAGAGAACUGGAUAAAAGAAUCCUCUCUUCCUCUCUCAUGCAGUUCCUUUUUUAUUAAAGCUUUUUAUUUUUCAAAACAUAUACGUGGACGAUUCUUCAACAUUAGCCCUUACAAAACCCUUUGUUCCCAUAGCCCCCUUUCCCCACGCCGUCCCCUAGAUGGCAAAUAGUCCAGUAUAAGUUAAACAUCUCAUUCGAUUCCUGCCCAUGCUCCACCAAGGACCCAAAUCGCAGGUCCCCUCUUCCAAGCAGCCUUCCCUUGUUUCCUGCCGUCUCCCCUCGCAGCUCCAUCCGUCUCAGUCUCGCAAGACGCUCUCAGUUAUCUUGUGGCUGAGUUGGAGGGACUGGCCUGUUGUCACUUCCUAUCUCUAAGAUAUAAUGCCUGCUGAGACGCCUGUGAGCUUCAGGAGACCCCAGACGACCCUUGCCCAGAUUCUGUGGCUCCCCAGCGCCGGGCACCUGGGGUUGGCACACAGCAGGCGCUUAAUCAAUGCUUAUUAAACAAACGCUAGGCUGCUGGAGUGACCAGCGCUGCAGUUUUAGUUUGGGAGUCACGAGGGCAAGAAGAGCCCGGUACUAGAAAGCCGGGACUGGUAUUCGUACCCUGGGGAGCCUUCGCUGCCUCAGGACAAGGCUCCGUUUCUUCUCCAAACCUUUGCGCGAAUUGUGGGGUGGGGGCCGGUAGGGGGCUAUCGCUCCAUGGCAAGAAUAGGACCCAGGCUCCUCCGGGAGAGAAAAAGCCUCGAUCACCCCUUCCCCUAAUUGCAUAUUCAUUCUGCAGCAUUAAAGGGGAAAAAAAUCCGUGGUCCUGGCGCCCUCGCACCUGUUGUGGGGGGUGGGAGGAUUGGGGAGAGUGGGGGAGGGUGACGGAGACAGGCUUCCCCAUCUGCCCUGCCCGAGAUCUAGCCCCCCACCGGCGGCCUCCUGCUGCUCCCUGUCGCUGGGGUGAUCUCAGCUUGGGGGCGGGGGAGGGAACCCCUAACCCAGCCCGAGUUUUCUGUGGCGCUCCCCGGAGGCUUCCCCGAAACUUUCCGAGCACUCAGAGGGGGGCAGCCCAGGGAUGGGGUCCUACCGGGGCCGGUCGGGCGAGGAGUCUGACCCCAGCUCCUGCCCGGCCUGAGGCGUCCCCGGAACCCGCUCCGGGUUCUCAGCCCCAAGGUUCGAGGGGAGAGGGGCCCUGGGGCCCGGGCGCCAGCCUCUCCUCCCCUGCAAAAGCACGUUGGCUCCCAGCUCAGGGAAUUGUUCUGCACCCGGCAAACUCACUCGGGUCGCCUGGGCACGGGCAAAGCGGACAUUCCUCUGAUUGCCACAAAGUGGGACAUUGUGUCGGGGCGCGGAGCGCUGGGCCCGGCCGCCAGGGAGUGGGGAAGGGUGGGGGCGGAGGCAGAGAUACAAAGAGAGACAUCGAGGCAGGACAACCCAAGGGAAAGCGGCACAGGCUGAGGGGAGGGGAGACCCACCGACAGAGAGACACACAGACACAGAGAAAGAAGGAAAUAGAGACAGAAAGGAGAGAGAGACAGAUAGAGAGAGAAAGAGACGAGAGAGGAGAGAGAGAGACAGAAAGAGAAAGAGACAGAGAGAAAGAGACGAGAGAGGAGAGAGAGAGACAGAAAGAGAAAGAGACAGAGAGAGAAAGAAAGAGAAAGACGAGAGAGAGACAGAAAGAAAAAGAGAGAGAGACAGAGAGACAGAAAGAGAGAGAGAAGUGACAGCAAUAAGAGAAAGGAGAAGAGAAAUAAGAAAUAAGAUCACCAACACCACUGGAAAGAAAAAGAGAGAGGGCAGAGAGAAAGAGGCCAGGGAAAGACAGGAACCAGGAGAAAGAAGAGGCAGAAAAUAGAAAGCUUAAGGAGAGACGGAAACAGGGCCCCGGGGAAGUAAAAGCAAGAAAAAGGGGGAAAGAAGGAGGAGAGAAAAGAAGGGAAAGAUAAAAAGGAAAAGCAAGACAAGAGGGGAGGAAGGGAGAGAAAUGAAGGCUAGAGCAAGAAAGGCCGGGCAGCUGGGAUCUCUCCCCUGCCUCCCGGGGUAGUUGGAGGGGCCGCCUUGAGUAUUGUGAGAAGGCGAGGGGGAAAAUGAGCCUGGAUCUCGCUCUCUGGCCCCCCUCCCCCCUCCGCCUUUCUGCCUGCUUGUCUCCCUUUUCCUCAAGAUAGGAUUGGAGGCUGGGGAGCAUCUCGGGCUGAUAAUUUGACUUCGGGAGUGAAUGUUCCCUCCAGCAGUAGGUGGUGAUGUAAUAGGUACUAGGACGAUAUAAAUAUCGGCGGCCAGGGCCCGGGAGCUAUGGCUGGCUGCUAGGAGAGAGCUCGCACCCUCCACUCACACGGGUCUUCUCUAGUUGAGAUCCAAGUUCGUAGCAGUGGCCAGUGACUCGACUGCUUCUCUGUGUCUCUCUGUGUGGCUCUCGGGGGCUUCCUCGCUACGUUUCUCUCCGGCUCGCUUCUCGUUCCCCGCUCCCUCUCUCGCCGCGUCUCUGGGGUCUCCGCCUCCGGCCCUUCUCCUGCCCCGAGCAGCUCCGGGGACCGGCCGAGCCGAGAGCCGCUGGGCGGCCCGUUUACGAAUCGGAUCUCCUAGCCCGGGCUGCUGUCGCCUCGCCCUCCUCUCUUCUCCUUGUCUGGUCAGAGCCCAAGAGCCCGAAGCGGGCAGGGCAGGGCAGGGGGUAUUUUUAGAGUCAUUGACUGCCUCCAGCCAAACCACGUGUGUCCCCCCUGGAGCCGGGAUGCCUCACCCCUCAGCCUUGCUGCCCGCGCUGCUGCUGGGCCUGCUGUCCCCCUGGCCGGGCCGUGGGAGCCCUCUGCCCGCGCCCCAAAACGACACGCUCGACCCGCGCUGGGAGACCCUCUUCUCCCGCUCCAUGGGCCGGCUGUCCGGGGACAGCAAGGAGCUGAGCCGCGACUAUCUGCUGGGCAUCAAGAGACUGCGCCGCCUCUACUGCAACGCGGGCAUCGGCUUCCACCUCCAGGUCCUGCCCGACGGGAGCAUCAACGGCGCGCACAACGAGACCCACUACAGUUUGCUGGAGAUGUCGCCGGUGGAGCGGGGAGUAGUGAGCCUCUUCGGCGUCAAGAGUCGCUUUUUCGUGGCCAUGAACAACAAGGGCAAACUCUACGGCUCGCCCCACUUCAAUGAUGAGUGCACCUUCAAAGAAAUCCUCCUGCCUAAUAACUACAACGCCUACGAGUCCCACAAGUACUCCGGCAUGUACAUCGCCCUGAACAAAACUGGGAAACCCAAGAAAGGCAACCGUGUGUCCACCACAAUGACUAUGACCCACUUCCUGCCCAGGAUCUGAGCCUCGGCUCGGGCUCGCUGCCGGAAGGGGGUCCCCACUGGCCCUCGGGCCAACCAAACUCGGUGCACUUUCAAUGGAGACUUCUGCGGGAGCAGGUGUAUGUAACAUAGUUAAGUUAAUUAUUUAAAUCUGUAUAUAUUGCCACAAAUUUAUUUAUGAUUCUGUGGGUGUGUUGGUUUUUGGAAAAGAAAAAAAAAUGAACAGAAAAGAGGGAAACUCCUCUUUGCUGGGACUGCUCUCCCUUGCCUGCCUUCUGUCCCUGUUUCUCAGAUACCCGUGUGCUGCUAUUAUCGUAUAUUCAGAGACUCAAGGGGCUGGCUCCUUCUAGAUACCCCCUCAACCCUGCUUCCACUUCUGGGAUUUGCAGGGGAUCCCCCGCGCCCUCAGCUCCAUGCCUGAACCCCAUUUGUGCCCGGCUGCUACUUCACAGAAACAUAUCGGUUUCCUUCUGGUACAAAAAGUUCUCCGUGGAAGUCCUACCCUACAAAUCUGUUUUUAGAUCGGCCAGGGCUGACCUUUGAACUUUCCUCCAGGCAAUCUUCCUCGAUCUACUGCUGGGCGGCAGGAAUCCUUCAACAACCCCGAAAACUUCAAUCCCUCCCCCCCCCCUUUAUUUUUAAAGAUCAGCAACAGUACAGUUGACAUUAUUCCCGUCAGGAAGAGGGCUUCCUCUCAAAACUGCAUUGUACAAAAUCAGUCUGGGGUGGGGCAGGGACUGCUGGGAGAAGUUUAAGUGACCAACUUCUUUGUUAACUCAGAUCCCCCCAAUUUGUGAUCGCCGCCAUCGGUUCCAACAGCUAAAUCAACCGCAUGGAGCCGAUUCCUGAUAUUGUAGUAGCUCUGAUUCCCUUUUAGAGACAGAGAAACACACACAAGCCUGAAGUUGUUUUUUGAAUUUUUUUUUAAUGCGGUGCUUAGAAAGACUGCUCCUCUUCCUUCUGCCUCAUCCCCUGCUCUUUGGUUUCAUGUCUACCUCACCGAGGCUUCAAAGCAAAAUCUCCCGGGAAAAUCCAGGAUUUCUGCUUUCCAGAGUAUCUUCCAGGUUGUGGAAGUGGCAAUCCCAGCGCCCCAUUUUUCCAUAUGUAGCCAAGAAGCAUUCCACCGGUGUGGGCUACAUCCCAUCUCAACCUUGUCACGUUUGAGCUAUCUUUACCCAGGGAUUUACUUUUAGUAAGGAUAAUCAUGGAGAAAAUAUUCGCAGACAGCUGUCAGAGGGCACUAUAUGGUCAUUGAGUAACCCUAUAUUUUUCUUUAUAUAUUUUUUCAAAUGGAAGCUCUGUCACUAGAGCAAAGACAGAAGAGGCAGAAGCAGGGGCUGGGGACUUACUUUAAAAAAAAAAAAGUCCCCCCACCCCACCCUCACACAGUGGCCAAUGGGGACAUUUUAAUGAAUAGAUUUUUGGAGUUUACACAAAAUGACCUUAGGUGGCUACCAGAAAUGCCCGAAAUGUUUAUGAAAUACUUGAGCUCUCCUUAAGGAUGUUUGCAAACUGGCUCCCAAAUUAACUUUAUGGGUCCCAGCAGACAGCGAGACUGUGGAAAAAUUGAGUCUUGCCUUUUCUCGGUGACAUUCUUGCUCUGGGGUUGUUGUUACCAUUGUUGUUUUUGAAGUCUCUCUGUUUUAUUGCAAUCACUUGCGCCCUGCUACCGCGCUCCCUCAGCUCUGGCUUUGGAGGCUGCUUGUGGACAUCGGCACAGGAGCCUGUGGAGUUUCUCAGGCCCUCUGAGAAAGACAAGGGACGAGCCGAGCUUGGCCAGCCCAGUCGAGGGCCAAAGAGAGGUCUCUGCUUCCUGGAAGACAGGACUGGACAUUUGGAGAGUUCUGGGAUUCUGGGGAGGGCAACCACACCCAACGAGUAAAGAAUUAUUCUGUGUCUCAGAGAACAAGAGCGGUCCUCCGGGGUGCUGGAAAAUUGUUUCCGUUUUCUUGUCAAUACUACACUCACACACACUCACACACACUCAUACAUACUCACACACACACUCACACACUCACACACACUCACUCACACACACACUCACACACACGCACACCAGAGAAUCACCUUCUCUGCUCCUGGGGCUGGUGCUGUCUGUUCCUUUAAAGUACUGUUGGACCAUUUUUACCCGGAUGUGUGCUUGAGCUCUCAAGAUUGAUCUAUAUUCGCCGAAUCUGUCUGUAGUUUUAUACAGGUGCUGUCUUAUAUUGCAAUGUAUGUGCUGUGCACACGUAACAAGGAAUAAAUCAUGAUUGCUUACUGCGGACAACAAGCUGGGCUGCCUGUUAAUCCUUGGAGUGGGCUUGAGUGAGUGUGUUCCAUGGCAAAGCAACCUAGGGGCUUCAAGCCCCCCCAAAGAGGCAGCUUGGGGCUGAUGUGAGAGGAAACUUGCUCACAGGUCGAGG